UAUCCGUGCUGGGGUGGCAGAAUUGAUGGCUCCGGUCGAGGUACAUCCUGAAGUGGUGGCCAUGCAUUCGCCAGUCCGGCCGGCGACGGAUGGGGUCGGUGGCGGCUGGGGAAAAAACCGUUCGAGUGGCGAGUGGGGCAAGAUUUGAUCUCGUGGUCUGCUCGCGCCGGCGCGGGCGGCAUGCCCGCCCCGGUGGCUUCUCCUGCUACAAUUUCAAGCACUCCCAUCGGCUCGCCGGUUCCGGGAGUGACACCAUCAACUCCGCUUGGGCCUUUACUCUGUUCUCCGCCGACAUCAGUUGCGUCCACGGCCACGGGCUCCGCUGUGCUGGCUCCGACGCCUCCAUUCGGGCUUCCUCGGUUGCUCCUCCAUCCUGGUGGC
rnacentral:lncRNA from 1 species